UUCCGGUUGAUCCCGCCGGAGGUUACUGCUAUCGAGGUUCGACUAAGCCAUGCGAGUCGAAUGUAGCAAUACAUGGCGAACUGCUCAGUAACACGUGGACAACCUGCCCUUAGGACGGGGAUAAACCCGGGAAACUGGGUAUAAUACCCGAUAGGUCUCGAUUGCUGGAAUGCAUCGAGAUUUAAAGCUCCGGCGCCUAAGGAUGGGUCUGCGGCCUAUCAGGUAGUAGUGGGUGUAGCGUACCUACUAGCCUACGACGGGUACGGGUUGUGAGAGCAAGAGCCCGGAGAUGGAUUCUGAGACACGAAUCCAGGCCCUACGGGGUGCAGCAGGCGCGAAAACUUUACAAUGCUGGCAACAGCGAUAAGGGAACCUCGAGUGCCAGGUUACAAAUCUGGCUGUCGAGAUGCCUAAAAAGCAUUUCAUAGCAAGGGCCGGGCAAGACCGGUGCCAGCCGCCGCGGUAACACCGGCGGCUCGAGUGGUAACCGUUAUUAUUGGGUCUAAAGGGUCUGUAGCCGGCCGGAUAAGUCUCUUGAGAAAUCUGGCAGCUUAACUGUCAGGCUUUCAGGAGAUACUGUCUGGCUCGAGGCCGGGAGAGGUGAGAGGUACUUCAGGGGUAGGGGUGAAAUCUUGUAAUCCUUGAAGGGCCACCAGUGGCGAAGGCGUCUCACCAGAACGGACCUGACGGCAAGGGACGAAAGCUAGGGGCACGAACCGGAUUAGAUACCCGGGUAGUCCUAGCCGUAAACGAUACUCGCUAGGUGUCGGCCACGGUGCGACCGUUGUCGGUGCCGUAGGGAAGCCGUGAAGCGAGCCACCUGGGAAGUACGGCCGCAAG
rnacentral:rRNA from 1 species